GUGGGGAAUCUUGCGCAAUGGGCGAAAGCCUGACGCAGCCAUGCCGCGUGAAUGAUGAAGGUCUUAGGAUUGUAAAAUUCUUUCACCGGGGACGAUAAUGACGGUACCCGGAGAAGAAGAUCCGGCUAACUUCGUGCCAGCAGCCGCGGUAAUACGAAGGGGGCUAGCGUUGCUCGGAAUUACUGGGCGUAAAGGGCGCGUAGGCGGACAGCUUAGUCAGAGGUGAAAGCCCAGGGCUCAACCUUGGAAUUGCCUUUGAUACUGGCUGUCUUGAGUUUGGGAGAGGUGAGUGGAACUCCGAGUGUAGAGGUGAAAUUCGUAGAUAUUCGGAAGAACACCAGUGGCGAAGGCGACUCACUGGCCCGUUACUGACGCUGAGGCGCGAAAGCGUGGGGAGCAAACAGGAUUAGAUACCCUGGUAGUCC
rnacentral:rRNA from 1 species